UCAAAGGACGUGAAACGUUUAGAAGGAAACGAGUAGAGCUGCGAGUGGCUCGGCCGAUUCAGGUUGCCGACAGUUCGUAGGCGGGGUUGUCGAUCGCAAGACGACGACUUUGCUGUGCGUGCUGGACGGCGGCUGCAUUUUGGCCGAGUAGCACUGGCGGUCGUGCUCAGCCGAUGACAGCCGACAGUUGACGGCGCCGCUUCGGUGGUUGUCGUCUGUCGGUCUGUUGUUUGUGCCGAGCACGAUUGAGUUGGACACGGCCUGUUGGUGCGAUAGCGGCUGUGGUUGGUGCUAGUAUUGCCAAUGUGCUUGCACAGAGGUGGUCUAGUGUCGAUCAUCGGUUGUGUUUCGCCCUUGUGUCCACGCCAGUGAACAAGUCAGCCACCUACUCGACCCGUCUUGAAACACGGACCAAGAAGUCUAACAUGUACGCGAGUCGUAGGGUGUAAAACCUGAAGGCGCAAUGAAAGUAAAGUUUCAUACGACACAGGACCCUGUGCUUCGGCGCAGGAGCACUGUGGCCCCGUUCUGAUUGCUCGUCAAUGGAGCGGCGGUUGAGCGUACACGUUAGGACCCGAAAGAUGGUGAACUAUGCGUGAGCAGGGCGAAGUCAGAGGAAACUCUGAUGGAGGCUCGAAACGGUUCUGACGUGCAAAUCGAUCGUCAGACUGCGUAUA
rnacentral:rRNA from 1 species